UAGAGAGAAGCUUGCUUCUCUUGAGAGCGGCGGACGGGUGAGUAAUGCCUAGGAAUCUGCCUGGUAGUGGGGGAUAACGUUCGGAAACGGACGCUAAUACCGCAUACGUCCUACGGGAGAAAGCAGGGGACCUUCGGGCCUUGCGCUAUCAGAUGAGCCUAGGUCGGAUUAGCUAGUUGGUGAGGUAAUGGCUCACCAAGGCGACGAUCCGUAACUGGUCUGAGAGGAUGAUCAGUCACACUGGAACUGAGACACGGUCCAGACUCCUACGGGAGGCAGCAGUGGGGAAUAUUGGACAAUGGGCGAAAGCCUGAUCCAGCCAUGCCGCGUGUGUGAAGAAGGUCUUCGGAUUGUAAAGCACUUUAAGUUGGGAGGAAGGGCAGUUACCUAAUACGUAAUUGUUUUGACGUUACCGACAGAAUAAGCACCGGCUAACUCUGUGCCAGCAGCCGCGGUAAUACAGAGGGUGCAAGCGUUAAUCGGAAUUACUGGGCGUAAAGCGCGCGUAGGUGGUUAGUUAAGUUGGAUGUGAAAUCCCCGGGCUCAACCUGGGAA
rnacentral:rRNA from 1 species